rnacentral:rRNA from 1 species
AGAGUUUGAUCCUGGCUCAGAACGAACGCUGGCGGCGUGGUUUAGGCAUGCAAGUCGGACGAUCUUAGGAUAGUGGCAAAAGGGUGAGUAACACGUGGGUAAUUUACCCUCAAGUCGGGAAUAACACCUCGAAAGAGAUGCUAAUACCGGAUGAGACCACAAGGACGUAUGUCCUGGCGGUUAAAGCCGAGGAUACCUAACAUCUUUGAUGUCAGGUACUUGGCGCUUAAGGAUGAACCCGCGUCCUAUCAGCUUGUUGGUGAGGUAACGGCUCACCAAGGCAUUUGACGGGUAGCUGGUCUGAGAGGAUGGUCAGCCACACUGGGACUGAGACACUGCCCAGACUUCUACGGGAGGCUGCAGUCGAGAAUCUUUCGCAAUGGGGGAAACCUUGACGAAGCGACGCCGCGUGGGCGAUGAAGGCCUUCGGGUUGUAAAGCCCUGUCACGAGGGACGAAUACACAAUGGUUAAUUACCGGAGUGUUUGACGGUACCUCGAGAGGAAGCCACGGCUAACUCCGUGCCAGCAGCCGCGGUAAUACGGAGGUGGCAAGCGUUGUUCGGAUUCAUUGGGUGUAAAGGGCAUGUAGGCGGCCUUUUAAGUCGAUUGUGAAAUCCCUUGGCUUAACCAAGGAACUGCAAUCGAUACUGGGAGGCUUGAGUGCAGAAGAGGAGAGCGGAAUUCCCGGUGUAAGAGUGAAAUCUGUAGAGAUCGGGAGGAACACCAGUGGCGAAGGCGGUUUUCUGGUCUGCAACUGACGCUGAAAUGCGAAAGCUAGGGGAGCAAACAGGAUUAGAUACCCUGGUAGUCCUAGCCGUAAACGAUGGGCACUAGGUGUCGGUCAGCAAUGGGCGGUGCCGCAGUUAACACAUUAAGUGCCCCACCUGGGGACUACGGCCGCAAGGUUGAAACUCAAAGGAAUUGACGGGGACCCGCACAAGCGGUGGAGCAUGUGGUUUAAUACGACGCUACGCGUGGAACCUUACCAGGACUUGACAUGUACCUGAAAGCCCGGUGAAAGCCGGGCCCUCCCUCAAGGACGGGUACACAGGUGUUGCAUGGCUGUCGUCAGCUCGUGUCGUGAGAUGUUGGGUUAAGUCCCGCAACGAGCGCAACCAUUGUCUUUAGUUGCUAACUCAGGUUUCUGAGAGCACUCUAGAGAGACUGCCUGUUGUUUGACAGGAGGAAGGUGAAGAUGACGUCAAGUCAGUAUGGCCCUUACGUCCUGGGCUACACACGUGCUACAAUGGGGCGUACAAAGAGAAGCAAAGCCGCGAGGUAGAGCAAAUCUCAAAAAGCGCCUCUCAGUUCGGAUUGAAGGCUGCAAUUCGCCUUCAUGAAGUUGGAAUCGCUAGUAACCGCGCAUCAGCUAUGGCGCAGUGAAUACGUUCCCGGGUCUUGUACACACCGCCCGUCAAGUCACCUGAGUUGGGUGCACCCGAAGUUGCCAUACCAACCCUUAUGGGGAGGAAGGUGUCGAAGGUGUGCCCGGCGAGGAGGACUAAGUCGUAACAAGGUAGCCGUAUCGGAAGGUGCGGCUGGAUCACCUCCUU